rnacentral:rRNA from 1 species
UACGAAGGGGGCUAGCGUUGCUCGGAAUCACUGGGCGUAAAGGGUGCGUAGGCGGGUCUUAAGUCAGGGGUGAAAUCCUGGAGCUCAACUUCGGAACUGCCUUUGAUACAGCACGUCUUGAGUCCGGAAGAGGUGGGUGGAAUUCCUAGUGUAGAGGUGAAAUUCGUAGAUAUUGGGAAGAACACCGGUGGCGAAGGCGGCGAGCUGGUCCAUUACUGACGCUGAGGCGCGACAGCGUGGGGAGCAAACAGG